GCGGGAUUAGUUUAGUGGCAAAACGACAGUUUUCCAAACUGUAGUCACCGUUUCGAUUACGGUAUCCCGCACUA
rnacentral:tRNA from 1 species